rnacentral:rRNA from 1 species
GAUGAACGCUGGCGGCGUGCUUAACACAUGCAAGUCGAGCGAAGCACUCUGAUUACUUCGGUUUGAAGAGUGACUGAGCGGCGGACGGGUGAGUAACGCGUGGGUAACCUGCCUCACACAGGGGGAUAACAGUUAGAAAUGACUGCUAAUACCGCAUAAGACCACAGCACCGCAUGGUGCAGGGGUAAAAACUCCGGUGGUGUGAGAUGGACCCGCGUAUGAUUAGCUAGUUGGUGAGGUAACGGCUCACCAAGGCGACGAUCAGUAGCCGACCGGAGAGGGUGACCGGCAACAUUGGGACUGAGACACGGCGCAAACUCCUACGGGAGGCAGCAGUGGGGAAUAUUGCACAAUGGGCGAAAGCCUGAUGCAGCGACGCCGCGUGAAGGAUGAAGUAUUUCGGUAUGUAAACUUCUAUCAGCAGGGAAGAAAAUGACGGUACCUGACUAAGAAGCCCCGGCUAACUACGUGCCAGCCGCCGCAGUAAUAC